UGUUAAAUAACAAGGUUGUGAAGGAGUAAGUAAGAAGGAGAGUCUCAGGGUGGUUUGCAUACACAACUGGAGCGUGUCACCUGUAUAUCUCCCGAGAAAAGGUGUACAGCAACGCGAUGAUGGGCUUGGUCUUCAAGACAAACUCGAAGUUCCUGAAAAGGGCAAAUAAGAUCAUCCGGAACUUAAGGGAGUUCGGCCUGAUCAACAAGUGGCUGGGAGACGAACUCACUAACAGCUCGCAGUGUCUCCGGCCGCCGAGUUCGGACCGCAGGGUCGGCAUUUCGCCUCUUGGCGUG